rnacentral:rRNA from 1 species
AGCUCUGCUAGCGUAUAUUAAAGUUGUUGCAGUUAAAAAGCUCGUCGUUGAACUUCUGGUAGGAGUAAUUGUUCCAUCACUAUGUGUUGGUAACUGAUUGACUCCGGCCAUCCUUGGGAAAAACUCACAUGGUAUUAAGUUGUCAAGUAAGUUGUUCCCAUCGUUUGCUGUGAAAAAAUUAGAGUGUUCAAAGCAGGCUUAUACCAUUGAAUAUAUUAGCAUGGAAUAAUAAGAUAGGACCUUGGUACUAUGUUGUUGGUUUGCGCACCAGGGUAAUGAUUAAUAGGUACAGUUGGGGGUAUGUGUAUUCAAUUGUCAGAGGUGAAAUUCUUGGAUUUAUGGAAGACGAGCUACUGCGAAAGCAUUUACCAAGGAUGUUUUCA